AAAUACAACUCAGCCCGAGCUGACUUUGAGCAGAAGAUGCUGGACUCAGCCCUGCGCUUCCAAGCCAUGGAGGAGACACACCUGAGGCACAUGAAGGCGCUGCUGGGCUCCUAUGCUCACUCGGUGGAGGACACGCACGUGCAGAUUGGGCAGGUGCACGAGGAAUUUAAGCAGAACAUCGAGAACGUCAGCGUGGAGAUGCUACUGAGGAAGUUUGCAGAGAGUAAGGGCACAGGCCGGGAGAAGCCUGGACCUCUGGACUUCGAGGCAUACAGCGCGGCUGCCCUGCAGGAAGCGAUGAAACGUUUGCGGGGAGCCAAGGCCUUUCGCCUUCCUGGACUAAGCCGGCGGGAGCGGGAGCCGGAGCCACCUGCAGCUGUGUGAGGAAGCACCCCUGCCCAGUCUGGCCCAGCCUAGCCUGAGAUCCCUUCCCCUGCCCAGGCUAUCCCAGAAGUCCCCUCCUAGGAUAGCCCAGAAGUAUUCCAGGCUGGACCAGGAUUCCCUCUACCUGAGCUAGACCAGGAGUACCUCUGCCCCAGGCUAGCUCAGUAUUACCGCUGCCCAAGCUAGUCCAGAAUUCUUCCUUUUUCC
rnacentral:sRNA from 1 species